rnacentral:rRNA from 1 species
UUUUUGUAAAUAAUUUAAAGUCUAGUCUGCCCCCUGAAAAAUUUAAAGGGCUGCAGUAUUUUGACUGUACAAAGGUAGCAUAAUCAUUUGUCUCUUAAUUGGUGACUUGUAUGAAAGAUUGGAUGAAAUAUAUACUGUCUCAUUAUAAUUAAUAAAAUUUAAUUUUUUAGUUAAAAAGCUAAGAUGAUUUUAAAAGACGAGAAGACCCUAUAGAGUUUGAUAAUUAUUAUUAUAUUAGGAUAAUGUAAAAUUUUAAAUUAAAAUAAUGAUAAUUAUUUUGUUGGGGUGACAAAAAAAUAAAAUAAACUUUUUUUAAAUAAUUUACAUAUAUAAAUGAAUAAAUGAUCCAUUUUUAAUGAUUAAAAGAAAAAAUUACCUUAGGGAUAACAGCGUAAUUUUUUUUUUUAGGCCUAAUAAGAAAAAGAGUUUGCGACCUCGAUGUUGGAUUAAGAUAAAAUUUAAAUGCAAAAGUUUAAAAUUUUGAUCUGUUCGAUCAUUAAAA